rnacentral:rRNA from 1 species
CGUUCCCGGGCCUUGUACACACCGCCCGUCACGUCAUGAAAGUCGGUAACACCCGAAGCCGGUGGCCUAACCCUUGUGGAGGGAGCCGUCGAAGGUGGGAUUGGCGAUUGGGACG